ensembl:lncRNA
CACCAACUUUACCUUGACGAUCUUUUGGGGCGGUGACGUCAUUGUUGUCUGUUUGGCUAAAUUCUGGUCUGCAUGCAUGUAGAUUGUUUACCUCUCUCUCAGCGGCGGGUGGUUUGGCCAUCGCGGUAACAUGGAAUGGGCUUUUCUUUACAAAAUCGGGGACCUCAGUCAGCAAAGUGUCGAAUGGUUAAAGAGGUCGGACUUUCCGAUUCCACCUUCAGUCAUCUCGGUCCUACGGUAGCAGCUAGCAGUGGUAGCCCGCGCGUGUGAGGGGAAUGGAGGAUUGGCUAUCCCACUUCUGACACAAGUGUAGCAUUUGCGGCCCGACACUGCAGGGGCUCACUGGCGCAAUGAUGAGGACACAGAGGGGCUGAUGUUUAACCGGAGAACCAGGCUUAAUUUUCCUUUCCGUACAACAAACUACGG